UCUUUUUUUGUCACAUGGCUUUGGAGAAUUCAAUAACAACAAAAAAUGGCGACAAUCACGUUGCUCUGUGUGGUCUUGCUGCGUCAUUAAAAAUAUUCAUGUAAACACGGGGCGUUAAACAGGGGGAUUGCAGUGCCCCUGUGCAGCGGGGCUAAUGGAGUUGUUUACAUGAAGUACAGAGGGCGGGCAGACGACGAGGAGGAGGAGGAGCAGCUACGGCCAGCGACGCGACCGGACUGCUCGAGAGGCUUCUCGCGCGGCGCGCGCGGGAAGGGAGGGGGAAGGGGAGGAACCCGCGAGGAGAAUCAUAACAAGUCUGACAUCACUCGGCCUUGUGGCUGGUAUGAAUAGCCUGUGUACAGUAGUUAGUUUGUGUCGAAGAAGUCAUGGCGGGAAGGCGGUGAGGGAGUGCAAUGUUGUUGUUUCAAGAUGGGAAACGUUAGCCAGCCUUUGUGUGCGGCAGCAAAAUGGAAACAAAGAUGAGAAACCUGAGUGGUUUUUGUUUUGGGUAUUUUUUUAUGUGGAACGAGGACUCUGACUAACUAAGCGGGUCAAACCGCAUGCGCAGUCUUGCCCCCGGCCCCUUUUCAAGACAGGUAAAACCCCUGUAAAAAAAAAUUAAAUCGUGUUUCCUUAUGAAAACCGCUUUGCUUCACGUUUCACAGCUCUCCACCGAGGCACCUGUGACUCUCACUGUGCAGCUCUCAUACCUGAGCAAGGAAAAAAGGGUGUAGAAACAUUAUUAGGAUAUAGCUUAAUGCAUAGCAGAGUCUGCCUUUUAAAAACAUUGAUAACUGUAGGGCAUUAGUUUGAUUGUGCAGGUGGUAAAAACCUCAUAAGCCUGAAUAAACUGACACACUACUGUAGCAUCACCUUGCUCUCAGAUGGAUUUGAGACAGUAGACGCCUGGAUGAGGAGGAUCCUGUGACUGUAACUGUCUGCAACUUUACACAUGGUCCAGACAUUUGUUUCUCUAAUCAGCUGUAAAAUAUAGUUUGUUUUGUUUGCUUUUUUCCCCCUCCCUCUGUCUGCUUUAUUAUUUUACCAGUUUUCUCAUGUUUAGAGAGCUGAAGACCAUUGGUGUAAAGGACACUUUAUAAAUAUCACAUGUUACGUUACAUGGCUGUUAGUGUGUAAAUGAAAGGUUAUUUCAAAUUAUUCAUAUCUAAGUAAGUAAAAGAAAUUUGCAAAACUUGUUUUGCAUGAGGAGAAAACAAGCUGCAAAAGAAAAAUGCAAAUGGAAUGUUGUCUUUGCACCUGCUGACCUACAGCAAGGAUUUUAUUGGUGGAUGACAAAGUGGAGUGAAGUCUUGGACUGCUAGAUUUGACAGGCUGCCCUGGUUCAGUUAUCACAGUGCUGAUGCUGUCCCCAUCGAAGGUACAGUACUGUGAUAACUGAAGGAUGGCUGCCAACUUGACACUAGUGCAGUGGUCAAAGUGGCACAGUCGGCUAACGAGGCAGAAGAACCAAAGAGAAGGUGGACAAGUGUGGGUAUGUAAACGGCAUUUGUUGUGAUAUGCUGAAUAAUAAAGUUUGUAAAGGAUGUCCAA